UUUAGGAACUUUUGGUUUUUAAUAGAUUUUUCCAGGUUGAUUCACAAUCACUGAGAAAUGUCAAUUCGUCGUACUAGGUUAUUUACUUAUCUUCAGGGAUUGACAUGUUACAUGCUACUUCGACGACUGCCAAAUUACUACUCCCCGUUGUUUGGUCCCGUUCCUGUUUUUAUAAUAACCUGGACAAAUGCUCAUCGUUGCUAUGGCAAUUGACGUUUCUUUGAAUUUGUGAAAACUUUGCCUGGAAAUUUUGGAGUUAUGCUUGACUUUUUGGAAAAAUGAUUAUCAUUUUUGGAUUCCUUGGCUUAUAACGAAUACUUUGAUAUGCAACAUUAUAUAGUACUACGAAACCGUUUUCACUUUGAAAGUUUAUCUAACACAAAAUGUUUUUAUAUGGAAUGAUACGAAAAUUGUAGUCUCUGGACAUCAGUCUUUCACCUUAUACACAAUUAUUCAGAAUGUUCCACACACUAACUAUAAUUUCUAUAAAUUUCUCCGUUGAGGAUCGUUUUACAUUGGUUUUAUGUAAAUUCAAUAGUUUACAAUAUUGUGAAUCUUAUUCUACCUAUGGAAUUUCAUUUAAGGUAUAGUUAACUUAACAUUUUAUUACUUUCUGUUAUCUGGCACAAAGUUAUAUUAAAAUUUUUAUCCUUCGUUACUUUAUCGUUACCAACAUAUUAUGUACUUUUUAAAAUUUACUCUAACACAUUUAGGAUCUUGUUAUUU